CGUAUCGGAUAUGCGUGAGCAACCACGCGAAACUCGCCCGCAAUCCCGGCAUCACCGCGCAAGCGGUGUGGCGACUUCUUCAACUGCUGCAACAGCAGCACCUCA
ncrna:unclassified sequences DTF3577 RNA